GGGUUGUGAGGUUAAGCGACUAAGCGUACACGGUGGAUGCCCUGGCAGUCAGAGGCGAUGAAGGACGUGCUAAUCUGCGAUAAGCGUCGGUAAGGUGAUAUGAACCGUUAUAACCGGCGAUUUCCGAAUGGGGAAACCCAGUGUGAUUCGUCACACUAUCAUUAACUGAAUCCAUAGGUUAAUGAGGCGAACCGGGGGAACUGAAACAUCUAAGUACCCCGAGGAAAAGAAAUCAACCGAGAUUCCCCCAGUAGCGGCGAGCGAACGGGGAGCAGCCCAGAGCCUGAAUCAGUGUGUGUGUUAGUGGAAGCGUCUGGAAAGGCGCGCGAUACAGGGUGACAGCCCCGUACACAAAAAUGCACAUGCUGUGAGCUCGAUGAGUAGGGCGGGACACGUGGUAUCCUGUCUGAAUAUGGGGGGACCAUCCUCCAAGGCUAAAUACUCCUGACUGACCGAUAGUGAACCAGUACCGUGAGGGAAAGGCGAAAAGAACCCCGGCGAGGGGAGUGAAAAAGAACCUGAAACCGUGUACGUACAAGCAGUGGGAGCACGCUUAGGCGUGUGACUGCGUACCUUUUGUAUAAUGGGUCAGCGACUUAUAUUCUGUAGCAAGGUUAACCGAAUAGGGGAGCCGAAGGGAAACCGAGUCUUAACUGGGCGUUAAGUUGCAGGGUAUAGACCCGAAACCCGGUGAUCUAGCCAUGGGCAGGUUGAAGGUUGGGUAACACUAACUGGAGGACCGAACCGACUAAUGUUGAAAAAUUAGCGGAUGACUUGUGGCUGGGGGUGAAAGGCCAAUCAAACCGGGAGAUAGCUGGUUCUCCCCGAAAGCUAUUUAGGUAGCGCCUCGUGAAUUCAUCUCCGGGGGUAGAGCACUGUUUCGGCAAGGGGGUCAUCCCGACUUACCAACCCGAUGCAAACUGCGAAUACCGGAGAAUGUUAUCACGGGAGACACACGGCGGGUGCUAACGUCCGUCGUGAAGAGGGAAACAACCCAGACCGCCAGCUAAGGUCCCAAAGUCAUGGUUAAGUGGGAAACGAUGUGGGAAGGCCCAGACAGCCAGGAUGUUGGCUUAGAAGCAGCCAUCAUUUAAAGAAAGCGUAAUAGCUCACUGGUCGAGUCGGCCUGCGCGGAAGAUGUAACGGGGCUAAACCAUGCACCGAAGCUGCGGCAGCGACGCUUAUGCGUUGUUGGGUAGGGGAGCGUUCUGUAAGCCUGUGAAGGUGUACUGUGAGGUAUGCUGGAGGUAUCAGAAGUGCGAAUGCUGACAUAAGUAACGAUAAAGCGGGUGAAAAGCCCGCUCGCCGGAAGACCAAGGGUUCCUGUCCAACGUUAAUCGGGGCAGGGUGAGUCGACCCCUAAGGCGAGGCCGAAAGGCGUAGUCGAUGGGAAACAGGUUAAUAUUCCUGUACUUGGUGUUACUGCGAAGGGGGGACGGAGAAGGCUAUGUUGGCCGGGCGACGGUUGUCCCGGUUUAAGCGUGUAGGCUGGUUUUCCAGGCAAAUCCGGAAAAUCAAGGCCGAGGCGUGAUGACGAGGCACUACGGUGCUGAAGCAACAAAUGCCCUGCUUCCAGGAAAAGCCUCUAAGCAUCAGGUAACAUCAAAUCGUACCCCAAACCGACACAGGUGGUCAGGUAGAGAAUACCAAGGCGCUUGAGAGAACUCGGGUGAAGGAACUAGGCAAAAUGGUGCCGUAACUUCGGGAGAAGGCACGCUGAUACGUAGGUGAAGCGACUUGCUCGUGGAGCUGAAAUCAGUCGAAGAUACCAGCUGGCUGCAACUGUUUAUUAAAAACACAGCACUGUGCAAACACGAAAGUGGACGUAUACGGUGUGACGCCUGCCCGGUGCCGGAAGGUUAAUUGAUGGGGUUAGCGCAAGCGAAGCUCUUGAUCGAAGCCCCGGUAAACGGCGGCCGUAACUAUAACGGUCCUAAGGUAGCGAAAUUCCUUGUCGGGUAAGUUCCGACCUGCACGAAUGGCGUAAUGAUGGCCAGGCUGUCUCCACCCGAGACUCAGUGAAAUUGAACUCGCUGUGAAGAUGCAGUGUACCCGCGGCAAGACGGAAAGACCCCGUGAACCUUUACUAUAGCUUGACACUGAACAUUGAGCCUUGAUGUGUAGGAUAGGUGGGAGGCUUUGAAGUGUGGACGCCAGUCUGCAUGGAGCCGACCUUGAAAUACCACCCUUUAAUGUUUGAUGUUCUAACGUGGACCCGUGAUCCGGGUUGCGGACAGUGUCUGGUGGGUAGUUUGACUGGGGCGGUCUCCUCCUAAAGAGUAACGGAGGAGCACGAAGGUUGGCUAAUCCUGGUCGGACAUCAGGAGGUUAGUGCAAUGGCAUAAGCCAGCUUGACUGCGAGCGUGACGGCGCGAGCAGGUGCGAAAGCAGGUCAUAGUGAUCCGGUGGUUCUGAAUGGAAGGGCCAUCGCUCAACGGAUAAAAGGUACUCCGGGGAUAACAGGCUGAUACCGCCCAAGAGUUCAUAUCGACGGCGGUGUUUGGCACCUCGAUGUCGGCUCAUCACAUCCUGGGGCUGAAGUAGGUCCCAAGGGUAUGGCUGUUCGCCAUUUAAAGUGGUACGCGAGCUGGGUUUAGAACGUCGUGAGACAGUUCGGUCCCUAUCUGCCGUGGGCGCUGGAGAACUGAGGGGGGCUGCUCCUAGUACGAGAGGACCGGAGUGGACGCAUCACUGGUGUUCGGGUUGUCAUGCCAAUGGCACUGCCCGGUAGCUAAAUGCGGAAGAGAUAAGUGCUGAAAGC
rnacentral:rRNA from 2 species